ensembl:lncRNA
CACACACACACAGACAGCUUUGCUGCUGCCAAACCACAACACAAAAUUGUUUUUUCUUUUUCUUUUUAUGAGAAGAAAUGUCGGAGCACGGCAGGUCUCGGUGUAAAAAGUGACAUGGAGGAAUUUGCAACGCUGCCUCGUGUCCUGGACCACGUUCUUCCCUCCGGAGGCUCCCCGGCUCGUCUUCCUCAGUUUUAACCCUACGACGCUAACACUGCCGCCUUGGGGCCUCGGCACGGAGACGCGCUGCGUAGAUGUACCGAACCCAGUUGCCUCGACCGCCGCAGGAUGCAAGAGUGCGCUUCACAUCGCUUACAGUGUACAAUUAGUUCAGAAGGUCAGGCACGGGGAAAUACAUAUUCAGUGUGUUUUUAAGCCCAGCAGACUUUGAAUUAAUAGCUGUGACGAUAUUGCGUAUCCAACACUUUGAGAACAUGAAAUUCUUUUUUUUUUUUUUGCCACACUCAGAAGAAAUGGCAUUUUCCAACCGUGGUCACACGUGUAUGAGAAAACCGUUCAGAUCCAAUCUUUAUAUAUAUGGCCAUAUAUGGCAUUUUUUACUACAACGUUGCUGAUACUGAAGCUUUUGCCAUGUAACAAACCAGUCAAAACCAGUCAAAACCAGCCGAACCACCGAUUGUUUCCAGAUCGUAGCGAAUUAUGUUCACCAAGCAAGAUGCAUUUAAAAACACAAAGGCUUUUUUUCUGUCAAUAAAUGUCCUCUGUGUUAUUUCAUCAGACUGUGAUGCAGUGUCUAAAAUUAACUAAAUGUAGAGACACACUGAAAGAAAUCAGUAUUUUUAAGUGAAUUGGAUUUUAAAUGGACAUGACUGUUGCACAAUUGAAAUCUGGAAAAAACUAAACAUAACGGAAGACGGUCAUAGUAAAAUAAAUUAUUCUACUAAAUGUAUUUGCUUUCCCUGUAUACAUUAAAUUGGCAGCAGAACAUCUUCUCAAUCAAUGAUCU